rnacentral:piRNA from 1 species
GUCUGAAGGAAGGCCUGACGGUGCAAGAA